rnacentral:rRNA from 1 species
GAUGAACGCUAGCGGCAGGCUUAACACAUGCAAGUCGAGGGACCGGCGGAAGGGUGCGUAACGCGUGAGCGACAUGCCCGUUGCCCGGGGACAACCGGUGGAAACGCCGACUAAUCCCCGAUGGCGACGGAUUGGCUCGCGUCCGAUUAGCUGGUUGGCGGGGUAACGGCCCACCAAGGCUACGAUCGGUAGGGGUUCUGAAGGAAGGCCCCCCACAAUGGGACUGAGACACGGCCCAUACUCCUACGGGAGGCAGCAGUGAGGAAUAUUGGUCAAUGGGCGGAAGCCUGAACCAGCCAUGCCGCGUGCGGGAAGGAGGCCUAUGGGCUGUGAACCGCUUUUGCCUGGGGGCGAGUACCAGGCGAAUAAGCAUCGGCUAACUCCGUGCCAGCAGCCGCGGUAAUACGGGGGAUGCGAGCGUUAUCCGGAUUCAUUGGGUUUAAAGGGUGCGUAGGCUGUGCGUCAAGUCGGGGGUGAAAUUCCGGUGCUCAACACCGGGGCUGCCCUUGAUACUGUCGCGCUGGAGUGCGGAUGCCGCCGGAGGAAUGAGUGGUGUAGCGGUGAAAUGCUUAGAUAUCACUCAGAACACCGAUUGCGAAGGCAUCUGGCGAAUCCGUAACUGACGCUGAGGCACGAAAGCGUGGGGAUAGAACAGGAUUAGAUACCCUGGUAUUCCACGCCGUAAACAUGAUGGCUAACCGCCGGCCGGUGGCCAAGCGAAAGCGAUAAGCCAUCCACCUGGGGAGUACGUCGGCAACGAUGCAACUCAAAGGAAUUG